GAAUUCACUAGUGAUUCAGGCCUAACACAUGCAAGUCGAACGGCAGCACGGAGCUUGCUCUGGUGGCGAGUGGCGAACGGGUGAGUAAUAUAUCGGAACGUACCCUGGAGUGGGGGAUAACGUAGCGAAAGUUACGCUAAUACCGCAUACGAUCUACGGAUGAAAGUGGGGGAUCGCAAGACCUCAUGCUCGUGGAGCGGCCGAUAUCUGAUUAGCUAGUUGGUAGGGUAAAAGCCUACCAAGGCAUCGAUCAGUAGCUGGUCUGAGAGGACGACCAGCCAUACUGGAACUGAGACACGGUCCAGACUCCUACGGGAGGCAGCAGUGGGGAAUUUUGGACAAUGGGCGAAAGCCUGAUCCAGCAAAGGCGCGUGAGUGAAGAAGGCCUUCGGGUUGUAAAUUUAAGGGUCAGGGAAGAAACGGUGAGGGCUAAUAUCUC
rnacentral:rRNA from 1 species